AUCCAGCUGACGAGUGCCAAAUAGGACGAAAUGCGCAUCCUGGAU
rnacentral:hammerhead_ribozyme from 1 species